UACGAAGGGGACUAGCGUUGUUCGGAAUUACUGGGCGUAAAGCGUGCGUAGGCGGUGUCUUAAGUUUGUUGUGAAAUCUCCCGGCUUAACCGGGAGGGUGCGGCGAAUACUGAGAUGCUGGAGUGCGGGAGAGGUAAGCGGAAUUCCUGGUGUAGCGGUGAAAUGCGCAGAUAUCAGGAGGAACACCAAUUGCGAAGGCAGCUCGCUGGGACGUUACUGACGCUGAGACGCGAAAGCGUGGGGAGCAAACAGG
rnacentral:rRNA from 1 species